CCUACGUGAGGCAGCAGUAGGGAAUUUUCCACAAUGGGCGAAAGCCUGAUGGAGCAACGCCGCGUGGGUGAAGAAGGUCUUCGGAUCGUAAAACCCUGUUGUUAGAGAAGAAAGUGCGUGAGAGUAACUGUUCACGUUUCGACGGUAUCUAACCAGAAAGCCACGGCUAACUACGUGCCAGCAGCCGCGGUAAUACGUAGUUGGCAAGCGUUAUCCGGAUGUAUUUGUCGUAAAGGGAACGCAGGCGGGCUGUGAAGUCUGUUGUGAAAGCCUUCGGCUUAACCGGAGUAGUGCAUUGGAAACUGGGAGACUUGAGUGCAGGAGAGGAGAGUGGAACUCCA
rnacentral:rRNA from 1 species